rnacentral:lncRNA from 1 species
GGCGGGAGCACUUGGUUGCUAUGUUGCGUGAAAAAUAUCCUGAGGUAGGGCGAAAACUCUCCCUCGGUCACUGAGCAUGUCUGGGGAAAGGGGGCGUGUGAGCCCGAGUUGGGCGAGGUGAAGGAGGACAUUCAGAGAGUAGCGAGAAAGAGGCUGGACUUUAGGACAGUCAGUGAUGAAAAAUUGACUACCAGAAAAUGGUAUCAAGAAGAUGAUCCUUGAUAUGACUGAGCCUGAUGCUGUUCUGUGGAAAGGAAUUCAGAAGAUCUUUGGGGGGAAGAUCAGAGGAACACUAGGAUGCUGUGGUGGAGAAGCUGUCUUUUGCCAGUGACUGUGGCAGAAGGAAAGAAGAAAGUCAACAAGGACUCUCAUGCUGCCAACAGUGCUACUGUUGCCCAGAGUGGCAGGGGUACUUGGAGUGCUUCAUCUAAAGGAUGUCAGCCAAAGGAUGUGACUGUUUGCAUAAGCAACAAGGAAGUAGACUACAUGAUCCAGGGAGAGAACCAUAGUGCUCCUGGGAGCAGCAG